rnacentral:tRNA from 1 species
AAUAAGAUGCCUGAUUAAAGGGUUAUCUUGAUAGGAUAAAAAAUGUAUUUUUUACUCUUAUUA